AGAGAAAGGCACAAAAAUAUUCCAAGAAUGUUUCUACAAAUAGGUAAAAAAAUAAUUAAUGAGUGCUUGCGUUACAUAAAUAAUAUUUCGCUUUCUUAUGUUUUGGCCCCAUUCCCGGCAAGUUUCUUGCCGGUGCCUCCAGAGUGGAAGCACUAUUAUCGAUAAUGGCCGAAAUUGCGCUUGACCUUCUGACCAAUGGCUGGAGAG